rnacentral:ncRNA from 1 species
ACUUUACAAGACUGUGGGUUGUCUAUAUAAUCCGCAGUUCUUUUUGGCUGAAAAGCCAAUGAUGGUGCUUGCCUCUCAAGCCCCGUCCAAGACCGUAGGCGAAAUCAUAUCUAGAUUUCUUAAUUAAACCUACGUAGAUGGUGAACAGACAGAAUUUUCUGCUUCUGGACACCUUAGGCUCAAAAAUUAUCGUGUAAGCGGUUCUAUUUUUGGGGUUUUUUGUAAAUUCCACGCAAGUGGAGUGUAUCAGGAGCUAAACCAA